rnacentral:rRNA from 1 species
CUGGCUCAGGAUGAACGCUAGCUACAGGCUAACACAUGCAAGUCGAGGGGUAGCAAGGUAGCAAUACCGCUGACGACCGGCGCACGGGUGAGUAACACGUAUCCAACCUUCCCAUAACUCAGGGAUAGCCUUUCGAAAGAAAGAUUAAUACCUGAUAGUACUUUUUCAAGGCAUCUUGAAAAAGUUAAAGAUUUAUGGUUAUGGAUGGGAUGCGUUCCAUUAGAUAGUUGGUGAGGUAACGGCUCACCAAGUCUUCGAUGGAUAGGGGUUCUGAGAGGAAGGUCCCCCACAUUGGUACUGAGACACGGACCAAACUCCUACGGGAGGCAGCAGUGAGGAAUAUUGGUCAAUGGGCGAGAGCCUGAACCAGCCAAGUAGCGUGAAGGAAUGAAGGUCCUAUGGAUUGUAAACUUCUUUUAUAGUAGAAUAAAGUGAGCCACGUGUGGUUUUUUGUAUGUAUACUAUGAAUAAGGAUCGGCUAACUCCGUGCCAGCCGCUGC